rnacentral:ncRNA from 1 species
AAUAAUAUUUGGCAAAGCCAUUGAAAGAUGGUGACGCAAAGCUAAAGGGGCUAAGGUGGACUACCACUAUGCCAGCCAGUUGCGAGG